rnacentral:rRNA from 1 species
GAUGAACGCUGGCGGCGUGCCUAAUACAUGCAAGUCGAGCGAACGGACGAGAAUCUUGCUUCUCUGAUGUUAGCGGCGGACGGGUGAGUAACACGUGGAUAACCUACCUAUAAGACUGGGAUAACUUCGGGAAACCGGAGCUAAUACCGGAUAAUAUUUUGAACCGCAUGGUUCAAAAGAGAAAGACGGUCUUGCUGUCACUUAUAGAGGGAUCCGCGCUGCAUUAGCUAGUUGGUAAGGUAACGGCUUACCAAGGCAACGAUGCAUAGCCGACCUGAGAGGGUGAUCGGCCACACUGGAACUGAGACACGGUCCAGACUCCUACGGGAGGCAGCAGUAGGGAAUCUUCCGCAAUGGGCGAAAGCCUGACGGAGCAACGCCGCGUGAGUGAUGAAGGUCUUCGGAUCGUAAAACUCUGUUAUUAGGGAAGAACAUAUGUGUAAGUAACUGUGCACAUCUUGACGGUACCUAAUCAGAAAGCCACGGCUAACUACGUG